GAUGAACGCUGGCGGCGUGCCUAAUACAUGCAAGUCGAGCGAACGGACGAGAAGCUUGCUUCUCUGAUGUUAGCGGCGGACGGGUGAGUAACACGUGGAUAACCUACCUAUCAGACUGGGAUAACUUCGGGAAACCGUAGCUAAUACCGGAUAAUAUUUUGAACCGCAUGGUUCCAAAGUAAAAGACGGUCUUGCUGUCACUUAUAGAUGGAUCCGCGCUGCAUUAGCUAGUUGGUAAGGUAACGGCUUACCAAGGCAACGAUGCAUAGCCGACCUGAGAGGGUGAUCGGCCACACUGGAACUGAGACACGGUCCAGACUCCUACGGGAGGCAGCAGUAGGGAAUCUUCCGCAAUGGGCGAAAGCCUGACGGAGCAACGCCGCGUGAGUGAUGAAGGUCUUCGGAUCGUAAAACUCUGUUAUUAGGGAAGAACAUAUGUGUAAGUAACUGUGCACAUCUUGACGGUACCUAAUCAGAAAGCCACGGCUAACUACGUG
rnacentral:rRNA from 1 species